UUAAAUGGCUGCAGUAAUUUGACUGUACAAAGGUAGCAUAAUCAAUAGUUUUUUAAUUGAAAGCUUGUAUGAAAGGUUGGACGAGAUAAUAUCUGUCUUUAUUUAAUAUAAAUAAGAAUUUAAUUUUUAAGUCAAAAAGCUUAAAUUUUUAUAAAAGACGAGAAGACCCUAUAGAUCUUUAUAAAUUUAUUUUUAUAAUUAUUUAAGAUUUAUUAAUUUUAUAUCAUAUAGAUUUAUUUUAUUGGGGUAAUAGAAAGAUUUAUAUAAUUCUUUUUUUUAAUUGUAUUAAUUUAUAUAUUAUUGAUCUAUUUUUAAUGAUUAAAAGAUUAAGUUACCUUAGGGAUAACAGCGUAAUUUUUUUAGAGAGUUCAUAUUGAUAAAAAAGUUUGCGACCUCGAUGUUGGAUUAAAGAUUAAUUUAGGUGCAAAAGUUUAAAUUUUUGGUCUGUUCGACCAUUAAAUCUUUACAUGAUCUGAGUUCAGACCGGUGUAAGCCAGGUCGGUUUCUAUCUUUAUAUAAUUAAGAUAUUUUAGUACGAAAGGACCAAAUAUUAAUUAAAUUAAUUAUUUAUUUGAAUAUUAUU
rnacentral:rRNA from 1 species